rnacentral:rRNA from 1 species
AUGCGGUCGCGGCGGACACCGCCGGCGGCGGCCCUCGCCGUCCUCGCGCUCCUCGCGGCGUGGGGCGCGGCGACGGCCGACCUCGCGUCCGACGCGCGGGCGCUCGUCGCCUUCCGGGCGGCGGUGGGCCAGCGCGUGGCCUGGAACGUGGCCGACCCCACCACCGUCUGCGCCUGGACGGGGGUCACCUGCGAGGGCGGCCGCGUGGCGGCGCUGCGCCUGCCGGGGGCCGCGCUGGCGGGGGCCGUCCCGGCGGGCUCGCUCGGGAACCUCACCGCGCUGCACACGCUCAGCCUCCGCCUCAACGCGCUCCGCGGGGCCCUCCCCGCCGACCUCGCCGCCAUGGCCGCGCUCCGCAGCGUCUUCCUCAACGGGAACCGCCUCUCCGGCGACUUCCCGCCGGCCUUCCUCGCGCUCCCCGCCCUCGUCCACCUCUCGCUCGGCGGGAACGGCCUCUCCGGCGCCAUCCCGCCGGCGCUCGCCAACCUCACGCGGCUCAAGACGCUGCUCCUCGAGGAGAACCGCUUCGUCGGCCAGAUUCCAGACCUCCCGCUGCCGCAGCUGCGCGACUUCAACGUCUCCUUCAACCGGCUCAACGGAUCCAUCCCCGCCUCGCUCCGCUCCAGGCCGCGCGCGGCGUUCCUCGGGAUGUCGUCCCUCUGCGGCGGGCCCCUGGGCCCUUGCCCUGGCGAGGCCCCUCCUCCUCCGGCUCCGGCGGGGAAGACGCCCUCGCCGACAACACCGGGGACGAACAUCCCCAACAGCGGAAACGACGAACGAAAUGACAAGAAGGGCAACAGGCUCUCCGGCGGCGCCAUUGCCGGAAUCGCCAUAGCCUCCGUCGUCGGCGCCGCGUUUCUCCUGUUCCUUCUCAUCUGCCUCUGCCGCAGGUCGGGGCGCACCAAGACACGGGCCCUCGAGAUGCCGCCUCCGUCUCCAUCCCCCGCCGUCAUCCCCGGCGGCCGAAAACCCCCGGAGUUGCCCACCGGCGCGGCCGUGGCGCCUAUGGCUACCGUGGGCCACCCCAGUGCUCAACAAUCGACUUCAGGGAAGAAGCUGGUCUUCUUCGGGUCGGCGGCCGCCGUCCAACCGUUCGACUUGGAGGACCUGCUCCGCGCGUCGGCCGAGGUCCUUGGCAAGGGUGCCAUUGGGACGACCUACAAGGCGGUGCUUGAAUCCAGCGCUACCGUGGCGGUGAAGCGGCUCAAGGAUGUCACCAUGUCCGAGCCUGAGUUCCGUGACCGCAUUGCGGACAUUGGCGAGCUUCAGCACGAGUUCAUCGUGCCUCUCCGUGCUUACUACUACAGCAAAGAUGAGAAGCUGCUUGUGUACGACUUCAUGCCCAUGGGGAGCCUUUCUGCAGUCUUGCACGGGAGCACAGGUUCUGGUCGUACCCCACUUGACUUGACGAUAAGAUCAAGCAUUGCCCUGGCUGCAGCCCGUGGGAUCGAGUACAUCCACUCUACAAGCUCUUCGACUUCGCACGGCAAUAUCAAGUCAUCCAAUAUCCUCCUGUCGAAGACGUAUCAAGCACGUGUUUCAGACAAUGGCCUUGCCACCCUUGUUGGUUCAUCAUCAUCUGGACCUUCUCGCGCCACUGGAUACCGUGCUCCAGAGGUUACUGAUCCCCGGAGGGUGUCCCAGAAGGCUGAUGUGUUCAGCUUUGGUGUUCUCUUGCUGGAGCUGCUCACUGGCAAGGCCCCCAGCCAGGCUGCUCUUAACGACGAGGGCGUCGACCUGCCCAGGUGGGUGCAGUCCGUCGUGCGCUCUGAGUGGACUGCGGAGGUGUUUGACAUGGAGCUCCUGAGGAACCAGAGCUCCGAAGAACAGAUGAUUCAGCUUCUACAACUUGCUAUAGACUGCGUUGCCCAGGUCCCAGACGCCCGUCCGACGAUGUCCCAUGUCGUCGUGCGGAUCGAGGAGAUCAAGAUGUCAGGUGGAAGCACCGAAGAAACUGAUCAACAACAGCAGAGCGCCCUGAAUCAGGGCGAUGAGAUGGUCGAGGGCCCCUCCUCGCCGUGA